UUUUAUAGAACACAAGACAUUCAUCCUUCAUUUGAAGCUUUUGAAACAAGAGAAGGUUUACCCUAUUUUCAUUGCCCUGAGUGCUCAAGUAAACAAGAUGAUAAUGAAAAGUGGCCUGUUUUAGAAUACACAUAUUUGAUUUCAUUUGCUCUACAUGAUGGGACAGGUCCAUCAUUCAUUGAAGUAUAUUUGUGGCGAGAAAAUGCUGUCAAAUUUUUCAAAAACAUUCAUCCAGAGGAAGCUUUACGAGACAAAACUGUUGCAGAUGGCAUUUUGCAUACAUUGUGGAGCAUUUGUCCAAACUGUAGACCAUUUAAUUUGAAAACUGAUGGUACAAAUAAUUACAAUCCAUAUCCUACAUUAGAUUGUUGUAUAUUGUCAUAUUCUGCUAUUAAUUGUACAAGAUACCAGAUGUUUGAUACGAAAUUGCUGUGAUAUAAAUGUAUAUCAUGUAUAGUUGAUUUUCAAUAAUUCUAUAAAUAUAUUUUAAUAAAAUACCAUUUGAUAUAUAUGUAUGAAAUUUUGUUUUGUGUUGAUCAUUACAAAAUUUUGUAUACAUUUGUUUGCCCUUUUUUAAAGAUCCUUACCAAAUGUGAAUUUGUAAAUCAUGUGGUGUGAUAAAUUAAAGAACUGUGUGUAGGUAUAAAGCAGUUUAUUGCUUCUUUAUGAGAUUAGAAAAAUAGGUAAUAAUUCAUUAACUUUUAACUGCUGUGACAAUUUUUUCGGCAUAAUUACUGUGAGCGGUCUCACAGACCACUUUAAAGAAACACGUAAAAAUACAUACUUUUAUACCUUUUUAAGGAAUGUUAUAGAUACUUUAUGAAUAUUUAUGGAAUUCUAAUUCAUUUAAAUCAAUAUAUUUUAAACAUAAAUCAUUUG